AAAAUUAGCGGGGAUAAGAAGACCCUGUUGAGCUUGACUCUAGUCUGGCUUUGUGAAGAGACAUUGAGAGGUGUAGCAUAAGUGGGAGGUUUUACGCCAAAUUUUGAAAUACCACUACUCUCAUUGUUUCUUUACUUACUCGAUUAAUACGGAAACCGAUCCUUAAACGGAGUCAGAUUUCUAGACCAAAGUCACUAAUAAAAUUAGUGCGAUCCGAUUCGAGGACAUUUGUCAGGCGGGGAGUUUGACUGGGGCGGUACAUCUGUCAAAUGCUAACUGCAGGUGUCCUAAGGUUGGCUCCGCCAGGACAGAAACCUGGCCUAGAGUUAAAAGGGCAAACGCCAGCUUGAUCUUGAUUUUCAGUACGAAUACAGAUCCGCGAAAGCGGGGCCUAUCGAUCCUUUUGACUCAUGAGUUUUGAUCAUAGAGGUGUCAGAAAAGUUACCACAGGGAUAACUGGCUUGUGGCGGCCAUAGCGUUCAUAGCGACGUCGCUUUUUG
rnacentral:rRNA from 1 species